GGUAAUAUCAGUCAGGUAACCUGAGACACAUAUAAUAUUCGUAAAACUAAUAAAGAACUCUCCCACUUUCUCCCCCACAUUCUCCCCACCGUCCUUCUUGAGUUUUUGGAGAGUGCCUAACAUAUAGUGGGUGCUGCUGUAAACAGAUAUUAAUGAGGGUAGUAUUGUCUCACGUUACAUGACGCUUUCCCUCAUCUUUAAAGCACUCCAUAAUGCUGCUUCUCCCAGCAUCUCAGCUCCUCCUACACAUCUCCCCGUUCCCUAUGCUCCACCCAAGCGGCUACCCUGACAGCUCCAUUUGGCUAUGGCUACACUGCACACCACUGGCAGCAGCGCAUAAGCAUCACAGUUACUGUCUGAGGAGCCAUCUCUCUCACCAUCAUAACAGUUCUGAGGAUCAAUCUUUUCCAUGGAACAUUGCAUCUUGGAACAUUAUGAAUAUACAAAGAAUCUAGGGCUUGAGGCUAAGAAGAUCUGCAGGAUCCAAAUGGUGGAAUAUGCUAGACACAGAAAAGGAAUGUAAAGGUUGCUGAGGACGCUCUUAGAAGUUGGUAAUUGGAACCAUCUGUGCCGUGGGCUGAAAUGGCAUUUAGGAAUCAUCCACUGAAUGUCCUGGCCACACUCCUUACCCUCUGGCCACGUCACUUACACCAGUAGCAGAGACAGAGGGUGGCAUCGCUCCUACACUGAAGCAAUCUUCCUAUGGCCAGUUCAACUGGCUUUACAAGCAGAAUCCCCAGGGAAGGCACACCCAAGGAUCUUGCUCUUAAUUGUUAAGAGGCGCGGCCUACACUGGCCACAGGUUCCAACAUGUGACUUGAUACUUCAUCUUGAUCCAAGCAAUCUCUGCAAGGGUCAAAACGGAGGCAUUAGACCUGUCGUUCCUGUUGCAGAUAAGAGCAGCGGGGAGACAUAUUCUAAAACUCUAUGGGCACUAUUGUGAAUACUCCUAUGCCCCUUCCAGAUGAUUUCUUUAAAUACUGCUGCUGUUUUAUUUGGAUUUUAAAAAUGUUUAAUUAAAAGGUGGUUCAAUAAUAAACAUAUAUUUUUUACUGUAGAGUGCACAAUGUAAUAUCAGACAUUUGUAGAAAUGAGUUUCCACAGAAAAGAAAACUAUUAUUCUUAUAUUCAGAAGGUAGGUGUGCCUGGCUUGACUUUCUAAAACAGCAAGUGACUAACCUUUUCCAGUAGCAUAGUUCUUGUAACCUUUCAGUUAGUUUUUCUUUUUUUAAGAGCUGCAUGCUCUGAAUGGAUCUUUUCCAGGCUACUACUUUAUGACUGAUUGUGCUGUUGCUUUCAAUCUGAGUAAUGCUCAAAUUCUUAAAUGUAAUCUGACAUUUACAGACUAUUGCCAAGAUAUCCAGAACAUGGAGGUCUGGCAACUAAGUUCUUGUUGCACUGCAAGGAUGAUCAAAAUGAAAAAUAGCUAUACAAAAUAUUCACAAUAAAAUAUGAAACCAUACCCAUUUAACUAAACGGUGCAGAAGAAAAGCAAAGAAGGGAACAUCAUUUGAAGUCUUAAUUGUAUGUAUUCUUCA